UUUUGUUGAGGUUUUUACUCAGUCGGAUUCAUCGGUUGGGUCGAUUCGAUUCUUAACGGUUUGCAUGUCCACGGAUUGUUAGUUUUUUUUUUGGAUUCAUCAAGCUUCAGACUCGGUAAGGAUUCUCAUCCAUUAAAAUGGUUAAUGUUGGUGAUACUUCUGCUUCCGCUCCCACAAAUUUUGCACUUGACCCUUCGAGUCCUUUAUUUCUUAUUUCUUCUGAUGUUCCCGGAGUAUCUUUGGUCAGUAAUCCCUUUUCAGGGACUGGGUUUGGGGGAUGGAGGAGAAAUAUAAUCGUUUCUCUGUC
rnacentral:lncRNA from 1 species